rnacentral:lncRNA from 1 species
ACCGUAGGUGCUGCCUAAAUUCAUCAAUUAUUUCGAUGCACAAAACACACAUAAUCUUAGCUAAAGUUUGAUUCACUUACAACACAUUAACCCUAAUGAGCUCAUACCAUGAUCAUGCAUGACCAAAUUCAAAUAGAGAAAAAUAGCCUCAACCAAAACACAUCCAAAACCAACUUAAAAAUUUAGCCAUUUUCGAAUGGCUUAAGUAUACAUUCAUUUCCAAAAUAACUAACUCCAAAACCAGCCUAUACAUGCCAUAACUUGAGUUUAGUUUGAAGGUACCAAAGCAGUAGAUAGUGU